ACAUUCAACGGCCGCGGUAUUAUAACCGUGCAAAGGUAGCGUAAUCACCUGCCCCUUAAAUAGGGGCCCGUAUGAAUGGUUAGCUGAGGGCUUAACUGUCCCCUACAGCCAAUCAAUGAAACUGAUCUCCCAGUACAAAAGCUGGGAUACAACCACAAGACGAGAAGACCCUGUGGAGCUUACAAGCCCCCUACUACAUUUAACCGAGGGCCCCCUACCACCAAGGCACACAGCCCAUAAUUAUAGUAUUAAGCUUUAAGUUGGGGCGACUGCGGGGAAAAAGAGACCCCCCGUGAAACUAGGCUAAUACCCUCCGCACGGCCCACAAGCCAAACGACACAGCCGCGCAUUGACCCAGUAAAACUGAUAAUCGAACCAAGUUACCCCAGGGAUAACAGCGCCAUCUCCCUCAAGAGCCCAUAUCGACAGGGAGGCUUACGACCUCGAUGUUGGAUCAGGACACCCCGGUGGCGAAGCCGUUACCAAUGGUUCGUUUGUUCAACGAUUAAUGUCCUACGUGAUCUG
rnacentral:rRNA from 1 species